GAUGAACGCUGGCGGCGUGCCUAACACAUGCAAGUCGAACGGUAAGACCCUUAGGGGGGUCCACGAGUGGCGGCGGGGGGCGUAAGAGUUAAGUAACCAUCCCACACCUCUGGGACAAGGCUAGGAACGUGGUGCUAAUACUGGUAAUGCGCCAUACCUGCAACGGGGGGGUUCAAAAGCUCCGGGGGGUUUGGGUGGACUUGCGGGCUAUCGGCUUGUUGGGGGGGUUGUGGCCUAACGAGCCGGCGACGGGUAGCCGGCCUGAGAGGGUGACCGGCGACAUUGGGACUGAGGGACGGCCCAGACUCCGACGGGAGGCAGAAGGGGGGAAGAUUGCACAAUGGGCGCAAGGCUGAUGCAGCAGGGCCGCGUGCGGGAUGACGGCCUUCGGGGUGUAAACCGCUUUCAGCAGGGACGAAGCUUUUUGUGACGGUACCUGCAGAAGAAGCACCGGCUAACUACGUG
rnacentral:rRNA from 1 species